GCAUAGACUCAAUAAGACAACCUUUAAAGAUUAUUUUUAUAAUCCUAUUUUCAAAAAAGAAAAUGAAACUCAAAGCAACUUGUCUGAGCUUUUGUAGCUUGAAAGUUAGAAGCCAAAGGUUGAUCUCAGCCUUUCCUUUAAUGGGCAUUUCCACCUCACCCUUUAUCAUUUUGCAGUGCGUUAACAUUCUUUGUCUACUUUCUUUCUUACAAAGUCCCUUAGGAGAUAAGAGGUACAUUGGCUAAUGAAGAAAUUAAAGUUCAACAAGGUUCAGCAAUUUCCACACGUGAAAAAUGUUAGAGAGGAAUUUAAAAACCAGGUAUCUUGCCUAGUUCAGAGAUGGAACCAGCAUGCCACUGACAUGAUUAUUUGAUCACCUGUUAUGCCUUUGACUAAGCAGAAUGAUCAAUGUGGUACCAGCACACAGUCAACUCCUGAAAAGUCUGAAUUAGAAUGUGCCAUGAAUCCUCUCUUUACAUCAUAAUUAGCAUCUUCAGAACCAAUGACUUGUUCCUAGAACACCAUUUUGACCUAAAAUGCCAUGAACUGUAGAGCAAGGUCACUAAAAUGGUGACACAGGUUGUUCCUUACCUCACUCCCUCUCACAAGAGGAAUAACUGUCACCUAUUUAUGAGCAAGACAUCACUGAGAGAAUCCUAGCAUCAGUGGGUGAGGAUGAUGGAGCCCCUGCACCUCAGAGCCCAAAUAGACUGGAAGGGAAUGGCAGGAAAACCAGUAGGGCUCAACCACUGAGUAUCUUCCUGUGAUGAAGGUAAAAGACUUGCAACAACCGACAACCAACAAACACAUGGAUCUUGGUGAGCUGAGUUCCCAUCUGCAGAGCUUAAGGAGUCAUCCCAGCCAGAGGCUUGGCUUAUCUACAGAACCAAGUUGAGGACGCAUUCUGACCAGGGAACUCGGUGAGAGAUGGAGGAAACAGCCAGAGGACUAGAAGUGGAGCCUGAAGAUGUGUCUGAAUGGCUGCAAUCUCAUGAUCAAACUUUUACGGAUGAGGAGUUGUUUCUUAGGGAUGCGCGAAGCAAGUGGUUCCUUGAGUUGGAAUCUACUCCCAGUGAAGAUGCUGUGAAGACUGAUGAAAUGACAACAAAGGAUUUACAGUAUUACAUGAACUUAGUUGAUAAAGCAGCUGCAGGGUUUGAGAGGAUUUGACCCCAAUUUUGAAAGGAGAUGUACUGUGGGUAAAAUGUGAUGGAACAGUAUUCCCUGCUACAGAGAUAUCAUUUGUGAAAGGAAGAGCCAAUUGAUGAGGCAAAUUUUGUUGGCUUAUUUUAAGAAAUCACAGCCACACCAGCCUUCAACAACCACCACCUUUAUCAGUCAGCGGCUAUCAACAGUGAGGCGACAUCCUUCCCGAGAAAAAAAGAUUAUGACUUGCUAAAGUUGAGGUGAUAGUUAGCAUUUUGUUUUAGCAAUAAAGUACUUUUAAAAUA